CCCUUAGAUGUUCUGGGCUGCACGCGCGCUACACUGAUGCGCUCAACGAGUUUUAACCUUGCCUGGAAAGGUUGGGUAAUCUUUUUAAAACGCAUCGUGAUGGGGAUAGAUUAUUGCAAUUAUUAAUCUUCAACGAGGAAUUCCUAGUAAGCGCGAGUCAUCAGCUCGUGCUGAAUACGUCCCUGCCCUUUGUACACACCGCCCGUCGCUCCUACCGAUUGAGUGGUCCGGUGAGGCUUUGGGAUCUGAGCGGAAAGAGCGUUUCGCUGUUUCUGCCCGGAAAACUCAGUCGAACCUUAUCAUUUAGAGGAAGGAGAAGUCGUAACA
rnacentral:rRNA from 1 species